rnacentral:tRNA from 2 species
GCUUCUAAAGGAUAAUAGUCAUCCGCUGGUCUUAGGCUCCAUUAACUCUUGGUGCAAAUCCAAGUGGAAGCU